CAAUGGCCUAGCACCCUGUCCAACUGAAUCUUAAAAGUGUCCAGUGUUGGGGAAUUCGGCACAUCCCUGGAGAGAUUAUUCCAAUGGCUGAUUGUUCUCAUUGUGAAAAAAUUCCCUCUUGUGUUCCAUCAGACUCUCCCCAGGAAUAACGCAUACCCAUUGCCCCUUGUCUUUUCCAUGUGACUCCUUGUAAAAAGGGACUCUCCAUCUUCUUUGUAGCCACCCUUUAAAUACUGGAACAUGGUGAUGAGGUCUCCCCUAAGCCUUUUCUUCUCAAGGUUUGCACAAACCCAGUUUUCUCAGCCUUUCCUCAUGCUGUGGCUUCCCUGUCCCUGGAUUAUCUUUGUGGCCCUUCUCUGGACCCUCUCCAUCCUGUCCACAGCUUUUUUGUAUAGCAAGGACCAAAACUGAACACAGUAUUCUAGGUGGGGCUUAGCUGAUCCAACAUGGCUCAUUACAUAGAUCAGGAAGACCCAUUUUCCACCUAGCAAAGGGGGGCUGAUUCACUGUCUGAUGAAAAUGGCAGAGCCCUCUUGAAGUCAACUGGUGAGGGGAAAAUAAAUGCAUACAGACAAGAUACUGACUUUGUGGAUUUGGGCUUCAGUGUUUAUUUUGUGGCCUUUCAAAAAGCAAGUUACUUGUUUAAUGAUCUUUUCUUGAGAGAUGCUUAACAGAUGGACUGACUGGUGGCCAGAUGCUGCUGAACUGCUUGGUGGAUCUGCUCCCGUGUCAUAGGUGGUUCGAUGUUGAACAGCUGGUGGAUCUGUUCCCAGAAGGUCCCACAUCCUCCCACCCCAUCUCUUUCCUACCCUGCAGCAUCUCCGAUUCUUCCCAAACCCCUGGUAGACAUCCAGCCCUUGCACCAUCCCUUACAAGGUGGUAGUUCCCAGUCAUCACCAGGACAUCCCCAAACCCUCUCCGUAGGUGACAUGGGUUUGCUCCGUGUUGGUGGUGUACAAGAACAGGACAACUGUGGGGAGACCUGCCCCAUAACAGCAGUGACACCACAGCUGUUUAAUUCACAUGUGGCCUGUGACACCUGGAGAGGCUCUUCCACAUUCAGUAAUUAUCUCAGUACAGCAACCAAAUGCCAUCUCCAGUUGACAGCUGUUCUUUGCCUUAUUCAGGUACUUAUUCUGAAUAUUGAUUAAUGAGCGUCCUGAAGAAGGUAAUGCAUUGCUGUGAACUUCUUGUGGUAUGGCACAAUGUAACUUUCACUGACACCUCCAAUAAACCCUACUUUUCUUAAAAUUCCUACUUUUGGUUUCCCUGUGAGCUGUGUGGGGCAGGGACACCUCCAGGCUGUAUGUCUGUACAGCACCUAGCACUACAGAGGGCUUGAGUCCAGGGCUUCUAAGCAAUGCUGAGAGGGAAUGACAAGAAAUAGUUUAAGGUCAGCAUUAUUUUUACUCUCUUGGAGAAUAAAUGCAACAGAAACUUAUUGUAUGAACAGGCUUGGCAAGGGGAGAUUUCUUUUAUUCAUAAUAAAAUUAAUCUGUGGGAAUUUCACAAGUUCUCUUGCAAGAUGAUAAAUAGCAGCACUUUAUUAACUCAGGCAGUGAGAUCCCUUAUACAAUGAGGAUGCUGUUUUCGAAUCUCUGGUAGCAGCAAAAUACAAAGAUGGUGACUUUUCUUCUCCAUCCCUCCACCAACGCACUCCAGCACCUCGCUCCAAUGCCCACCUCAGGAAUGAGCAGGACCAUGACAUUGGGACAUCUGGCCAUCUAAGCAAGGGACACUGUGUGUACCCUUUGCUGUGAUUUGCAAACCUCCUGUCACGUUGAACACUCACUUUGGGGUUGCCUCACCCUACAACCCCCUCCCAGAUCUACCAGUCCCAACAUCUGCUUCAGGGUCCCACAUGAUGCUCGCUUGGGGAAGAAAAUGCAAAAAACCACCAGCAGGGAGAUCCAACAUGGGCUUAAAAAUUGAGUGGACAAUUCAUCUAUGUCUUCCCUGCAAAAUCCACCCAAAACUCAGACUCUGUCUCUUUUUUAUUCCCUCCCAAUACACCCAGCAAACCCUAAAGCUCAUGGUUUAGUCCUAUUUAGCGGAGAGCACGUGUGUGUAUGUGUGUAUCUUUUUUUUUUUUCUGGAGUGACUUGUUUGUACUGUCAUCAGCUGUUGUUUUGGUAAAUGGCAAGUUAAACAGAUAUAUCCAAGCAUAAAAUCUAAAAAUGUUCCCUGUGGGCGCCUGGGAGGUGUUGUUUGAAAUCAACUACAUAUCAAUUGGGCAGCGUCGAGAGGAUCCAAUGAUAAAUUCCAGUCCACAGAUGCCUUAUAAAUUACAUUUUUUUGUUCACAAUCUAACCUCAUCUCAGCUCCCCAGAGGCCCUUAGACUGAGAACUAUGAUUGUGUCAGAGAAACGUUUGCUCAGCUUGAGAGAUGCCAUUAGUGUUACAUGUGCCAGGCCGCUCACACCAGCAUCCCCCCACUUCCAUCCCUCCAUUCCCCCCAAUCCCAACCCGAUCCCCCCUCCUCCUCCUCUUCAACAAAAAUGCAAUAUGUGCCUGGUAAUUUUCCUGUUCAUUAUCUCAUUGUUUUCUGUAAGUACAAGGUUAGAUUGAAUUACUGCAGGCUCUAUUGUCUAUUUGUAAUUCUCCUUCCAUGCCGUGCUACUAAUGAAUGGGCAAUUUAGUCAAAUCUUUGUAAUGGCUUCUUCUCCUCACCCACUUAAUUACUCUGAGCUUUUCUCACUGCUGCUUUAUUGCAUGGAAAUUCAGGCUGCUUCCAUGUCUUUGCUGGGGGAUCUCCAGCUCUGAAAGAAAAUAAUAAUAAUUAAAAAAAAUCGUAACAACAACCAGCCCAAAUCGUCCUGAUUCCUCAGGACACAGGACUUUCCCCUCCCAUGUGGUUUAUUUGCUCUAUAGUUAGUGGUUUUGUUAAUGUCGUGUGCACAGAGGAAACCAUGCAAUUUAGGCAAAGUACAUUUAAGGUGAAGGCAAUCUAGACCCUUUGAAUGAAGGGGGAUUGGAAAAAAAGGCUAAUUAAAUAAAUGUACAGGACCUUGUACAGAAUAUUCCCCACUCCAUACAAUUCCACUGGAACAGGGAUGGUAAUCUCCAUCUAUUUUGGGAUCACUAAAAUCAGAAUUUAGCUUGAUUUUGGUACUAGGGGUAGGAACUGUGCUUUUUGUUUGUUUGCAAAAAGAAUGUGUUCACCUUUGUGUUUUAUGUCCAAUAUUUCAAUCUGCAAGAAAGGGGUAGGGCACAGGAAUAAAUACAUUUUCAAAUUAAUUUAAUAAAAUUAAAUGUGAUCACUUCUAAUUAGCAGUUAGAUAUGUGUAGAAAGCUUUAAAACAGCCCCUUUGCACAAUAAAUAUUUUUUAUUUUCUUUAAUAACAGGAUACAAAGAAUGGAAAUAAGAGGAAAUAAAGGAGUUAAAAAGAAAGUGUUGUGAAUUAUAAAUAAGAUCCAGGCAGAUUAUCUCAGUACAUGAUCUGACUCACCUAUUUAAAUUCCUAAAGAGACUCUGUUCCUUUCUUCAGGGACUGAAAUACUUAGAGGCUGGUGGAGUGCAGGAUUUGCCCCAAAAUCACGAACCCAGUGAAAUGUGCUGAGCUCAAUGUGACCUGAACACCAUCCCAACAUGCUGCUCCUCCUGUCCUGUUCACAUGCGCAUAUGUGUUCCCUUGGCAGUUAUCACCGUGCUCCUUCCUCUCCUCAUGCACGAGGGUGAUCAGAGAAUCACAGAAUCAUAGCAUCAUUUGGUUGGAAGACACCCUCAAAAUCACUGAAUCCAACUGUUAACCAAACACUGUCACUAACCCAUGUCCCCAAGAACCUUCUCUCUGCAUCUGUUCAACCCAUCCAAGGAUGGUGACUCCACCGCUGCCCUGGGCAGCCUGCUCCAAUGCCCGACAGCCCUUUCUGGGAAGAAAUUGUUCCCAAGAUCCAACCUCAACCUUCCCUGAUGCAACUUGAGGCCGUUCCCUCUUGUCCUGUCGUUGGUUCCUUGGGAGCAGAGCCUGACACCCCCUGGCUCCAACCUCCUUUCAGGCAGUUGCGGAGAGUAAUAAGGUCUUCCCUCAGCCUCCUGUUCUCCAGGCUGAACCCCCCAGGUCCCUCAGCCGCUCCCCAUCACACUUGUGCUCCAGCGCCUUCCCCAGCUCCGUCCCCUUCUCUGAACUCACUCCAGCUCCUCAAGGGCUUUCUUGGUGUGAGGGGCCCAGAACUGACCCCAGGAUUUGAGGUUUGGCCUCCCCAGUGACACCCUGGAGAUGCUGCAAGCAGCCAGAUCCUGCCUGGGGAUUUGAUUUCUAUCUUGGAUGCCACCAAGAAGGAAGCUGUUGCAUGGCCACAGCAUUGCAUGGACACACCAGAAGGUGUUUCCCAGGUCUCACUGGACCAGUAGCUCUAUAACAGGUUCUGCUGCCGUGCUUGGUGUGGAGGAAUAAGAGGAUUUUUGCUGGCGGUCGGAUCAGUGAGUGUUGAAUUUCUAACCACCCCCCCUUGUGCCACCCAUAGAACUGAAAAUGCCAUGUGCCUUCAGAAACACAUAAUCAUUAAAUAGCAACUUAUUUCUAUUUAUCUUUACAAAAUAGCUGAAGAUGGGGAGAGAGGCAGCCUGAGACCAAGCUGGUGCCUCGUAGACCUGGAUAGGCUCUUUGCCUGCUUUGCUAUAAUGCUUCAUUGGAACUGACACAUUGAUAGCCACAGUUUUUCUAGGAAGUGACCUUCAUGCUGCCCAUUGAUUCCCAGUGGCCAUCAACUCCUUGCAAUUGGAAUGACAGGCCAGGUUAAAGGUCAGUCCUUAAAUAAAGCUUCUGGAUUACUAAACACCUGAAAGUUCAAAUGAAAAUGGAAAUCUACCCUUUAUUUUAUGUGGCAUGCUACUGCUAAUGACACUUUGGGAUCUUAAAUGGCCCCUGCACUUUAACUCAUGCGUGCGUUUCACUCGAUAGUCCCUUAAACUGGCUCCUCUCCCCAUCACUGCUGGACCCUUACAGAACAGACGGCAAGGGAAAGCAAUCUCCCUUGGAUAUAUGGCUUCUGGGGGAAAAAAAAAAAAAGCUUUCACAGGAAAAGAUAUCAGAACCAAUUAAAACAUUUGCCUUUCAAGUGAUGGCCAGGAACAAUCAUUCCCUUAAGAUUCACACUAAAAGGAUUUUAUUUACAUGAGCUGUGGCAUUAAAAAGGCCCCACUAGCACAGCUGUAUCGGGGAAGUCAGGUGUUGGGAUCUCAGCACCUUCCCGUGCCCCACGGAUUCCCCAGGCACAUCAACCUAACAUAGCAUGGUGUGAUGGGUUGGGCACACACCAAAAUAUGUGUUUACUGACAAUGUCCUUUAAAUGUUGAUUAGUUUUGGUGGUACUUCUUAAUUUGAAAAAAAAAAAAUAAAAAUCUAAGUGAAUAUUUUAAAAUGUCUAAAAAUAUAACUUAAAAAAUAAGGUGAUCUCUCAAAAUAGCCCUUUUUUUUGUUGUUGUUGUUGUUGGGUUUGUUUUGUUUUGUUUUGUUGUUGUUGUUUUUUAAAUAUAGUUUGACCUACUAAAAUCUAAGGAGAGCUUCUGUGUAAUGUCAGUAUAAUAGAACUUGUUUCAAACAAGCUUUCUAGAAAUGUUUGAAACAUUUCCCCUAGCCAGAGACCUUACACUGAAUUUCAGCCAAGAGCAAAUUAUUUGCAGGCAGUGUUAUAAAUCAAAACUCUGUUUCUAAUGAAAGUGGUGACACAACUUUAACUGUAAUGGUACUUUCAGGCAAAACUGUAAAGAAAUUGAAGUCUUACAUUCAGUAUGCUGGUGCCAUAUCCAGAACUGUUUUUUUAAAAUCUUUCUCCAGAGUGCUUCUCUGUAUCAGAGCAAGAUGGAAAGUCAGUGUAAUCCUUGUGUAAUGCAGAAUGUAGAUAUCUGCUAUACCUAGUGAUAUUCUGCAACAAUAAACCCUUUUAUUAGGAUUAUCAA